GGUUCCCCCACGGGUCCAGAAGACUCAUGGACGAUCCAAAUAACCCCCGUGGUUGCGGGAGUAGGUGCUCUGGCCCUUAUCGUUUUGUUCGUUAUCAUUUGUGUAAUCGUCAAGAAGCGGGGGAGUGUUGUGAGAUCUUCACCAGAAGCAGAGGACACGACUGAGAUGGGGGCGAGGAAGGAGACCAUGAAGGUCAAGAAAUGUCAAUCGGUGUACCUCGCCCAGACGGCUAGCGCCAAGGAUAGAAAGAUGAAAGACCCCGAAGACCGAUCACACCAUCUCCAGAAUCAGCGCCAUGAUAUUUAUGAAAAUUACAAUAUGGAUCGGGAUAAUGUGUACGCAAAUGUGGACUGAUUGAGAACUGGGACCAGAAGCUGGGAAGAGUGGAGGAGGAGAGGAGAGCUCGGGAAUUCAAAUUUACUCCGGAUAAAACUGCAGCGAAUCAGCACCCGCACCUGGAUAAGGGUCCGAUUCAACGCUACGUAAACCAGUUUCCCACCAGCGAGCUCUUCACAGGAUCUCGGAGCUGUCUCUACCCGACGUAGUAGUCUGUCUGAGAUCAUAGCGCGGUACUGUGUACAGUUCUGGUCACCACACUAUCGGAAGGGUUAGGAUUCCCCAGGCAGGUGCCUGGUUUGGAGUGUUCCAGUUCCGAGGAGAUACCGGAGCGGCUGGGUCUGUUCUACCUUGGGCGUAGGACGCUGAGGAAGAUUUACGAGGAUGUGGCUGGGACUCGAAGUGGAGGUUGUGCAGGCUAGGACUUUAUUCCUUGGAGCAUAGGAGACUGAGGGGGUGACCUGAUAGAUGUAUGCAACAUCACAAAGAGGAUAGAUCAGGUGGGUAAUGAUAAUCCUUUCCCCAUGGAGAGGGGCAUAGAGUCAUAGAGCUGAACAGAAACAGGCCUUUUGGCCCAGCCGGUCUAUGUCGACCAAGAUUCCCAUCUAAGCUCGUCCCAUUUGCUCGCUAUUGGCCCAUAUCCCUCUAACCCUUUCCUACCUGCCCGAGUGCAUUUUAAAUAUCGUUAAUGUACCUGCCUCAACCACUUCCUCUGGCAGCUCUUUCCAUAUACGGACCACCCUCUGGGUGGAAAAGUUGCCCUUCGGGUUCCUGUUAAAUCGCCUCUCACCUCAAACCUGUGCCCUCUAGUUCUUUAUUCCCAACGCUGGGGAGAAGAGCCUAUAUGCAGCUCUACAAAACUCUGGUUAGACCACACUUGUGUCCAGUUCUGGUCUCCUCAUUAUAGGAAUGAUGUGGAAGCGUUGGAGAGGGUGCA